GCCAGUCUGGCCUAAUGGUUAAGGCAUCAGGCUAGAAAGCGGGAGACUGUGAGUUCAAAUCCCACCUUAGGUA
rnacentral:tRNA from 1 species